rnacentral:rRNA from 1 species
GCGGCGAACGGGUGAGUAACACGUGGGUGAUCUGCCCUGCACUCUGGGAUAAGCUUGGGAAACUGGGUCUAAUACCGGAUAUGACCGCAUGCCGCAUGGUGUGUGGUGGAAAGAUUUAUCGGUGCAGGAUGGGCCCGCGGCCUAUCAGCUUGUUGGUGGGGUAAUGGCCUACCAAGGCGACGACGGGUAGCCGACCUGAGAGGGUGACCGGCCACACUGGGACUGAGACACGGCCCAGACUCCUACGGGAGGCAGCAGUGGGGAAUAUUGCACAAUGGGCGGAAGCCUGAUGCAGCGACGCCGCGUGAGGGAUGAAGGCCUUCGGGUUGUAAACCUCUUUCAGCAGGGACGAAGCGUGAGUGACGGUACCUGCAGAAGAAGCACCGGCUAACUACGUGCCAGCAGCCGCGGUAAUACGUAGGGUGCGAGCGUUGUCCGGAAUUACUGGGCGUAAAGAGUUCGUAGGCGGUUUGUCGCGUCGUUUGUGAAAACCCGGGGCUCAACUUCGGGCUUGCAGGCGAUACGGGCAGACUUGAGUGUUUCAGGGGAGACUGGAAUUCCUGGUGUAGCGGUGAAAUGCGCAGAUAUCAGGAGGAACACCGGUGGCGAAGGCGGGUCUCUGGGAACAACUGACGCUGAGGAACGAAAGCGUGGGUAGCAAACAGGAUUAGAUACCCUGGUA